rnacentral:rRNA from 1 species
UACAGAGGGUGCAAGCGUUGUUCGGAAUUAUUGGGCGUAAAGAGCGUGUAGGCGGUUUGGUAGGUCCGCUGUGAAAACUCGAGGCUCAACCUCGAGACGCCGGUGGAAACCAUCAGGCUAGAGUCCGGAAGAGGAGAGUGGAAUUCCUGGUGUAGCGGUGAAAUGCGUUGAUAUCCUAAGGAACACCGGUGGCGAAAGCGGCUCACUGGAUCUUAUCUGACGCUGAUGCACGAAAGCCAGGGUAGCAAACGGG